rfam:Picea glauca, whole genome shotgun sequence.
AUGUACAUUCCUAUAACAUAGUGCUAAUGCAUCAAAUCCCAUUAGAGCUCUGCAGUUAAGCACGCUCAAGCUAGAGUAGUACUGGGAUGGGUGAUCACCUGGGAAAUCCUUGUGUUUUACAUG